rnacentral:rRNA from 1 species
UACUCCUACGGGAGGCAGCAGUAGGGAAUCUUCCACAAUGGACGCAAGUCUGAUGGAGCAACGCCGCGUGAGUGAAGAAGGCUUUCGGGUCGUAAAACUCUGUUGUUGGAGAAGAAUGGUCGGCAGAGUAACUGUUGUCGGCGUGACGGUAUCCAACCAGAAAGCCACGGCUAACUACGUGCCAGCAGCCGCGGUAAUACGUAGGUGGCAAGCGUUAUCCGGAUUUAUUGGGCGUAAAGCGAGCGCAGGCGGUUUUUUAAGUCUGAUGUGAAAGCCCUCGGCUUAACCGAGGAAGUGCAUCGGAAACUGGGAAACUUGAGUGCAGAAGAGGACAGUGGAACUCCAUGUGUAGCGGUGAAAUGCGUAGAUAUAUGGAAGAACACCAGUGGCGAAGGCGGCUGUCUGGUCUGUAACUGACGCUGAGGCUCGAAAGCAUGGGUAGCGAACAGGAUUAGAUACCCUGGUAGUCCAUGCCGUAAACGAUGAAUGCUAGGUGUUGGAGGGUUUCCGCCCUUCAGUGCCGCAGCUAACGCAUUAAGCAUUCCGCCUGGGGAUUACGACCGCAAGGUUGAAACUCAAAUGAAUUGACGGA